ACAGGAUUCCUGGGUUCUUUUCCCAGCUUUGUUAUGUGACGUUGGGUCUGUCCCUUACUGCUGUGCCUCAGUUUCCCCUCCUGCGCUGCAUCUCUUUAGACUGUCAGCAUUUUGGGUCAGCGUCUUUCACUGUGUGUCUGGGCAGCGAUGGGGGCCAAAACAGAAAACCCUCCCCCCCCGUGGAACAGCUGUUCAGACUUUCCUGACAAGGCUGGAGAGGAGCCAGGGACUCAGAGUGGGGCUAGCCGGCCAGUCCCUGACCCAGGACCGGAUGGGAGCUGACGCUCCUGGAAGGGGAAAGGUCCAGUACCCAAUUCCCCACCCCUGAGCCAGGCCGAGAACCCAGGAGUCCUGGCUCCCAGUCCCCUGCUCUAACCACUAGACCCCACUUCCCUCCCAGAGCCGGGGAGAGAACCCAGGAAUCCUGGCUCGCAGCCCCCCUUGCUCUAACCAACAGCCCCCGCUCCCCUUCCAGAACCAGGGAGAGAACCCAGGAGUCCUACGCUGCCCCUCCCAUGCCCCCCCACAGGAAGUGGUAGGAAUUCCCAGCCCCACGUGACCCCUCUGGAAUGUGGUGACGUCACCGAGGGGUCCAUUAAAAAAGUUUUUUGGGAGUUGGGAGAAAAAAAAAAACUUUUCCGGGGAGUUUCGGAGCCGGCGGGAUCCGGCGCCUCCGGGACCUUCCCCCUGCCCCUCACUGGGCUAGGGAACCCCCCACCCCACGAGUGGGGUAGGACAGGAGGGGCUGGGACCCCCCCCUCAACUGGGAUUCCCGCAUCGGAGCCAGGUCCCAGAGAUGUCCGGUCCCACCUGGCUUCCCCCAAAGCAGCUGAGCUCCUCGGGGUCUCCCGGCGUCUCGGUCUCGGCUCUGGCACUCGGCAAACCCCAGAAGAAAUACGCCCCUGUUCCUGCUCCCCCCAGGCCGGCCCCCCAGGACCAGAACGGGGGGGGCAUGAGCGGGACAGGCUACCAGCCAGCGGGCCCUGGCAGCCUCCCCUCCCGUCCCCUGCCUUCCAGCUUCGGACCCCCAGCUGACUUGGAGCAUCAUUACCCAUCAGCCCCAGGGGCCAAGGAUGAACUGGGGGUGCCCUGGGGUGGCCCCCCCUCUGCUGGAUGUGGGUACCACAUGCAGGGAUCUGCCCUAGACCCAGGGCCCCACCGCCCCUCCAGCAUCGACGCCCAAAUAGACUCGCUCACCAGUAUGUUGGCUGAUAUGGAGAAUGCCGGCCCCCAACGCCGGGGGGAGAGGCAGAACUUCGACUCCGUCCCGUACCCGUCGGCCUCUGGCCCCCCGCAGCCCACCCCCCCCAAAAUGCACGGCCCCUACAAGCCGGGCUCCUUCGCCCCCAAGAACUCACCCUACGGUCCAUCGCCCCAACCCGCCACCUCAACGGCUUCCUCUGGGCCGUCUCCCCAAUAUGGGGCAGGCUACCCGCGGGCACCGCCCGGGCAUAAGCCCUACCCGCAGCCCAUGCCCGCGUCCUACACCACGUCGGCCGGGCCGGCCUUCAACGUCCAGGUCAAAGUUGCCCAGCCAGUGCUGGGUUACGGUCAACCGAGGCACCGGGCCGAACAGGCCUACGCACCCCCCUCGCCCCGAGUGGGCCGCGGGGCCCAGUACGCCUUGGAGCCGGGCGCCAGGGGGGAGGAGGGCUGGUAUCUGGAGCCGGGGGGUUACGGCAAGAGGCCGGGCAAGGGGGAGUGCUAUGGGGCCGGGGGGCUGGCCAAACCAGGGGAGGCGGCUGGGGGUCCGUACCAGGCUGCCGCCAGGACCCCAGGCAAGGAAGAGACGGCGGUGAUGGGGAAGGCGCCCCCUGGUGGUGGAGGAGGAUACCAGCACCAGACCCCCCCGAGCCGCCCGGAGGAGGAGCUGGACAGACUGACCAGGAAGCUGGUGCAUGACAUGAACCACCCGCCGGCGGGGGAGUACUUCGGGCGCUGCGCCCGCUGUGGGGAGAACGUGGUGGGGGACGGGACAGGCUGCGUGGCCAUGGACCAGGUCUUCCACGUGCCCUGCUUCACCUGCACCACCUGCCACGCCCGGCUGCGGGGCCAACCCUUCUACGCCAUGGAGCGCCGGGCCUACUGCGAGGCCUGCUACGUCGUGACGCUGGAGAAGUGCUCGAUGUGCUCCAAGCCCAUCCUGGACCGGAUCCUGCGGGCCAUGGGCAAGGCCUAUCACCCCCAGUGCUUCACCUGCGUGGUCUGCCACCAGUGCCUGGACGGGGUCCCCUUCACCGUGGACGCCACCAGCCAGGUCCACUGCAUCGAGGACUUCCACCGGAAGUUCGCCCCCCGCUGCUCCGUGUGUGGCAACGCCAUCAUGCCCGAGCCCGGGCAGGAGGAGACGGUCAGGAUCGUGGCCCUGGAUCGGAGCUUCCACAUUGGGUGCUACAAGUGUGAGAUUCCCCCGUUUAUAAGUCCCAGGAGCGCAUUCGCUCUUUUAGCCACAGCGUCGCCCUGGGACCUUGUGUUCAGCUGCUCCUCCACCAUGACGCCCAAAUCUCUUUCAGAGUCCCUACUUCCACCCUGUAAGUAUGGCCUGUGUUUGUUGUUGGUAUGUCUUAGUAUGAUUUUAAAACCUCCCCACCUCCUUACUGUCCUUAAUUGUGCUGGCCAUUCCUCUUUGUGGCCCUUUUGCUUCCCUUAUCAAUGUACUAAGAUUCCUAGUGUCUGAUUUCUAUUCGGUACGAUCAAUCUCCCCUUUUCUUCCAUUUGUUCCAUGUUCAUCUUUUUAUUGCCAUCACUUUCCCCUCAGAACCAGGUCUUUUUUGGGGGGUUUUUUUGUUCUUGUUUUUAACUUGGCCGGCUUUUUUCCCCUUGAGUGUGGCACCUUACAAAGCGUCCUUCCACAAUCCCCAAGCCACAGUGGCGUUUUCCUGGUCUGAUCGGUUUCCUCCCGGCUGAUUUGGCGCGGCAUGGCUUUCCGCUUGGGGAAACGGGCCUUUUUAAAAGCACUGUGGGCGGGUGUAUUAACGCCGGUUUGGAUUUAGUUCUCUUCUCAAGGCGUGAGGACUUGUCGCGAAGCGGCAGUUUGUUUUUUGGUCCUACGGUCGGCUCCUCUUCAGCCGUGCGGACGAGAUCUUCCGUGUCUUUCCCCGUAUCAAUGGUCAAGGCAAGAAUUUGUCACCCGGUGUCAGCUGUGAGGUGACUUGAGGGUGCACUCGGCACCUGCCCUCUGGCCGACUGGAGCCCACAGAGCCCGGGGUAGGGCCGGUCCCACCCGUCUUUCCCCUGAAGGUGGCCCGAGCCCAAAUCCUCCAUCCUGUGAGCCGAGCCGGCAGGUCCUCAGGUCCCAGCUGCCUGGCUCAGGGGGGCAGGGAAUGGGGCAAGUAUUGGAUAGUCUCUCUCGCUUGGUCGCCCCCCCCCCAGGGGUGUGUGUCUGGGUGCGGGGGGGGGUGGGUGUCUGGGUGCAGCCACUGGGACCUUGCGGGAAGUGGGAUGCCCCCCCUUGAACUGCCCCCCCCCAGCAAGCCCUGAUCACUCCCCCUUUCAGCUGCCCUCCCCAUCCCCUGCCUUCUUCCCAUCCUCCCCCCUGCCUGUCCGCCCCCUCCCCUGCACCCCCUAGCGGCUCAUUGGCUGGGCUGCCCCCCCACUCUCUUUGCGGGGGGUGCAUAUAAGAAGCAGGGCUUGGGGGGGGGGGGGCUGGUCGCACACAAGUUCUGUCUGCUUCCCAGCUUGGUGUCAGGCAGCUGGUUUUGGGGGCGAGCCUCGGCACCAUGGGGUCCCCGCUUUUCUUCCUCCUCUUUCUCCUCGCCAGCUCCGCGCUGCGCCCUGGGACCCCCGCGCCCGCCGGCGCCCCCCGGCUCCGUGCUCCCCACCUGGGGAGCCAGGCGCUGUCCCGGGCUGUGGUGCUAAAAGCCGUCUCCGGACUCCUGCGCGCUGAGCUGUCUCCCCAGGGUGCGGCCCCCCGCUGGCAUCACCCCCCCGCGACCCCCC